UGUGCGAGGCCCUUAAGUAUUUCAGUAUAGGUUAAAUUAUAGUAUACUGUUUGCAGCACAUGCCAAGCGACACAAGGUGACAAGUGUAAUCGAUGUCCGGUGUAUUUCGAGACGCAGAUUCCGAUUACGAGUCGCGAGUGUAGGUUUUCGUAAUGUGUGCAUGGUGUUUAUCGCUGUUGUUCGCGGUAGAUUCACACAGCCGGGAUUGUUUGAGUUGCUACUUGGCCGCGUACCAGUAAGCGUGCAAUAGAGCGAAAAAGCGCGGUUAGGAUUGCUGACGCAAUCCUCCUUAAUUUUUGCGCAAUCAUAUCCUGUAUUCCCAUUUAUUGUUUUGUAUUCCACAUACUAAUUCUGUUUAAUGGCCAAAUCGUCCCCCUCCCCCUUCCUGAUUAUUGCGGACGGGUGCCAAAUUAAAGAAAGAAGAAGAAGAAGCCGGGAUUAUUCUGACAGAGACGAGAACUGAUUCGGAAUCAUAAUAAGGGAAGGGUCGGAUCGAAUCGCGACUGUUGCUGGGCACUUGAUGGAUUCAGGUUCCUUCGAUGUCAUUUUGUUAUUUCCAACUUACAUUAUUGUUUACGUGUGGCUUCUAUUUGUAUAAUAAUAAUUGGCUAUUAUAUGUUGGCUAUGGAUAAGGAAACUAGCUACAUUGAUCACUUAUAUCGGAUAUCUUGUACGAAGUCUCGAAGAUUUGCAUCUUUAUGAUAUUGGAUUUAACCAAGCGUAGCUUGCUACCAUUGGAAUUCUGGACAGUUACAGUGUUGUAUCACAUUGGGUGUUGCACUGGGAAAGGUUAAUGCGGAUCGGACUUACUCGUACAGUUCAAUACAACAUGAAUUCAGUGUAAAUCGACGGAAUGCGCUGUAGAUCUAGGCUGUGUUCCGAAAUUCAUUGUAAGUAACUGAAGUACUAAAAAUCUAGUUUAUGCCACGUAUACUAUAGCUUUUUAGUACUAGCAGUCAAUUUCGGAACGCAGCCCUAGUUUACACCAAGCAUUUGAUACGCGUACUAACUAGUAAUUUUCUAUUAAAUUAUCUUAAUUUAAGCAAUGAAUUUAAAGAACAGUAUUGUUACGACUGGGUGGGUCGUCUCGUAUUUGCGCACGAAUGCUCUAUAAUAACGCGCGCUCACGGAA
rnacentral:lncRNA from 13 species